rnacentral:rRNA from 1 species
CAGCCGCCACGGUAAUACGAAGGGUGCAAGCGUUACUCGGAAUUACUGGGCGUAAAGCGUGCGUAGGUGGUGGUUUAAGUCCGUUGUGAAAGCCCUGGGCUCAACCUGGGAAUUGCAGUGGAUACUGGGUCACUAGAGUGUGGUAGAGGAUAGUGGAAUUUCCGGUGUAGCAGUGAAAUGCGUAGAGAUCGGAAGGAACAUCUGUGGCGAAGGCGACUAUCUGGGCCAACACUGACACUGAGGCACGAAAGCGUGGGGAGCAAACAGGAUUAGAGACCCCGGUAGUCCCUGUCUCUUAUAC